GCUGAUGUAGCUCAGUUGGUUAGAGCACUCGGCUCAUAUCCGGGUUGUCGUGGGUUCAAGUCCCUCCAUCAGCA
rnacentral:tRNA from 2 species